rnacentral:rRNA from 1 species
AGAGUUUGAUCCUGGCUCAGGACGAACGCUGGCGGCGUGCCUAAUACAUGCAAGUAGAACGCUGAAGAGAGGAGCUUGCUCUUCUUGGAUGAGUUGCGAACGGGUGAGUAACGCGUAGGUAACCUGCCUUGUAGCGGGGGAUAACUAUUGGAAACGAUAGCUAAUACCGCAUAACAAUGGAUGACACAUGUCAUUUAUUUGAAAGGGGCAAUUGCUCCACUACAAGAUGGACCUGCGUUGUAUUAGCUAGUAGGUGAGGUAACGGCUCACCUAGGCGACGAUACAUAGCCGACCUGAGAGGGUGACCGGCCACACUGGGACUGAGACACGGCCCAGACUCCUACGGGAGGCAGCAGUAGGGAAUCUUCGGCAAUGGGGGCAACCCUGACCGAGCAACGCCGCGUGAGUGAAGAAGGUUUUCGGAUCGUAAAGCUCUGUUGUAAGUCAAGAACGAGUGUGAGAGUGGAAAGUUCACACUGUGACGGUAGCUUACCAGAAAGGGACGGCUAACUACGUGCCAGCAGCCGCGGUAAUACGUAGGUCCCGAGCGUUGUCCGGAUUUAUUGGGCGUAAAGCGAGCGCAGGCGGUUUGAUAAGUCUGAAGUUAAAGGCUGUGGCUCAACCAUAGUUCGCUUUGGAAACUGUCAAACUUGAGUGCAGAAGGGGAGAGUGGAAUUCCAUGUGUAGCGGUGAAAUGCGUAGAUAUAUGGAGGAACACCGGUGGCGAAAGCGGCUCUCUGGUCUGUAACUGACGCUGAGGCUCGAAAGCGUGGGGAGCGAACAGGAUUAGAUACCCUGGUAGUCCACGCCGUAAACG